GAUGAAGAACGUAGCGAAAUGCGAUAAGUAAUGUGAAUUGCAGAAUUCAGUGAAUCAUCGAAUCUUUGAACGCACAUUGUGCCCGCCAGUAUUCUGGCGGGCAUGCCUGUUCGAGCGUCAUUUCAACCAUCAAGCCCCCGGCUUGUGUUGGGGACCUGCGGCUGCCGCAGGCCCUGAAAACCAGUGGCGGGCUCGCUAGUCACUCCGAGCGUAGUAAUACAUCUCGCUCAGGGCGUGCUGCGGGUUCCGGCCGUUAAAAAAGCCUUAUUUACCCAAGGUUGACCUCGGAUCAGGUAGGAAGACCCGCUGAACUUAAGCAUAUCAAUACGGAGGA
rnacentral:misc_RNA from 1 species